CGGACGGGUGAGUAACGCGUGGGUAACCUGCCUCACACUGGGGGAUAACAGUUAGAAAUAGCUGCUAAUACCGCAUAAGCGCACGGUUCCGCAUGGAACAGUGUGAAAAACUCCGGUGGUGUGAGAUGGACCCGCGUCUGAUUAGCCAGUUGGCGGGGUAACGGCCCACCAAAGCGACGAUCAGUAGCCGGCCUGAGAGGGUGAACGGCCACACUGGGACUGAGACACGGCCCAG
rnacentral:rRNA from 1 species